rnacentral:rRNA from 1 species
AUGAACGCUGGCGGCGUGCCUAAUACAUGCCAGUCGCGCGAACAGACGAGGAGCUUGCUCCUCUGACGUUAGCGGCGGACGGGUGAGUAACACGUGGAUAACCUACCUAUAAGACUGGGAUAACUUCGGGAAACCGGAGCUAAUACCGGAUAAUAUAUUGAACCGCAUGGUUCAAUAGUGAAAGACGGUUUUGCUGUCACUUAUAGAUGGAUCCGCGCCGCAUUAGCUAGUUGGUAAGGUAACGGCUUACCAAGGCAACGAUGCGUAGCCGACCUGAGAGGGUGAUCGGCCACACUGGAACUGAGACACGGUCCAGACUCCUACGGGAGGCAGCAGUAGGGAAUCUUCCGCAAUGGGCGAAAGCCUGACGGAGCAACGCCGCGUGAGUGAUGAAGGUCUUCGGAUCGUAAAACUCUGUUAUUAGGGAAGAACAAAUGUGUAAGUAACUAUGCACGUCUGGACGGUACCUAAUCAGAAAGCCACGGCUAACUACGU